UGUCUAUGACAGCCCUGGAGACAGAGUUGCUGACCAGAAUCGGAAAGGAGGGUGCAGGCGGUGAACAUGCAGAGCCCCGUUCCUCGGUUUUUCCGUAGACACUGAGCACUCUGGGGGCUCUUGGCCCCCCAGCCCUCACUCCGGCCAAGGCGGUCUCUGGAGGCAGCCCUGAUGGGACCAGCGCAUCUCAUCAACCCAGAAUUCAGAACCCUGAACUUCACUUCACUUGCCUGUGUCUGUAAUCCCUACAGACACCUCCGGGGAAGAAGAACUUCCCUCGACCGCGGGGACUCGCCCAACCUGGGAACCUCUGGGGCCCGAGAGCCAAGAAAGACCCCCUUCCUUGCUCUUUUCCCGGGGAUGCAGAAGUCAGGUGAAUUUGGCAGGGAGACAGGGCUCCAGGCGCCUGGAGAGGGGCUAAGGGCGCAGUAGCCACCCAGGAGAGGGCGUCAAUUCCCGCGGACCCCCGCAGCUCCCACCCACUCUCCUGCAAGCGCUUUUGUUCCCCGAGCCUGCCUUGGGGAAAAAAGACAACCCUUACCCCCGCCUUGAACCCUGAAGAGUUCAGUGCCCGCCAAGGCAGGGCUGGAGCCCGAGUCGCCCCGGGCAGAGUCCGCCGAGGUCUCGGUUGGGAGCUACGACUCCAGGAUCAGGCUCCGAGCUCCUCUUGGAGAAGGCUGCGCGUAUUUCCACCGGCGCCGCCAGGCGCGCAGGAGCCAGCCUCUCUAAUGUUUGUAAUGUGGAUGAUGGUACAGUUACUGAAGGGCUGGGGAACCGGGAGCGAAGAUACCACCCCCACCUCCGCCUACAUCUUUUAUGGUUAAAGAAACAGACACCUAAUUAGGUGCGUGGAAAUAGGGGAGAGACGGGGUACAAGUUUCCAAGACGCCAGCGUGGAGGCCAGGUUUGAAAUCUGCAGAAUCUAGGCUAAGGUUUUUGGACCAGGCUGUGGUGCCGACCCUAGAUUCACCCAGAGAGGAUAACUCGAGCUCUGGGCAGCUUUUUGUGGACUUUUAACUGCGACCUUGCCGACCCUCACGGUUCCGAGGGUAGGGAGAGUUGAGACCCCCUGGAUCCCGGCACUAAGCUACCCGGAUUCUAUUCAAAGCUAGGGCCCAGGGCUGGUUCGCGCGCUCCCCCUGCUGGAAACCGCCUGUCGGGCUCAGAGGCGCAGGGCAGCGGCUGGGGUACCUUGGGCCGGGAGGUUCUGAGGCUCGAACCGGGGCCAGGACCGAAGCCUGCGCGGCUCCCGGUUCUUCAUCCCGCGGUGCGACAUUCCGAAGUGGGACAUGCUAACCCAA
rnacentral:lncRNA from 1 species